UGGGGAAUAUUGGACAAUGGGCGAAAGCCUGAUCCAGCCAUGCCGCGUGUGUGAAGAAGGUCUUCGGAUUGUAAAGCACUUUAAGUUGGGAGGAAGGGCAUUAACCUAAUACGUUAGUGUCUUGACGUUACCGACAGAAUAAGCACCGGCUAACUCUGUGCCAGCAGCCGCGGUAAUACAGAGGGUGCAAGCGUUAAUCGGAAUUACUGGGCGUAAAGCGCGCGUAGGUGGUUUGUUAAGUUGGAUGUGAAAUCCCCGGGCUCAACCUGGGAACUGCAUUCAAAACUGACUGACUAGAGUAUGGUAGAGGGUGGUGGAAUAUCGUGGGUAGCGGUGAAAUGCGUAGAUAGAGGAAGGAACACCAAAGGCGAAGGCGACAACCUGGACUGAUACUGACACUGAGGUGCGAAAGCGUGGGGAGCAAAC
rnacentral:rRNA from 1 species